rnacentral:rRNA from 1 species
GAUCCUGGCUAGGAUGACGCUGGCGGCGUGCUUAACACAUGCAAGUCGAGCGAUGAAGUUUCCUUCGGGAAACGGAUUAGCGGCGGACGGGUGAGUAACACGUGGGUAACCUGCCUCAUAGAGUGGAAUAGCCUUCCGAAAGGAAGAUUAAUACCGCAUAAUGUUGAAAGA